UACGGAGGGGGCUAGCGUUGUUCGGAAUUACUGGGCGUAAAGCGCACGUAGGCGGCUUUGUAAGUUAGAGGUGAAAGCCCGGGGCUCAACUCCGGAUUGACCUUUAAGACUGCAUCGCUAGAAUUGUGGAGAGGUAAGUGGAAUUCCGAGUGUAGAGGUGAAAUUCGUAGAUAUUCGGAAGAACACCAGUGGCGAAGGCGACUUACUGGACACAUAUUGACGCUGAGGUGCGAAAGCGUGGGGAGCAAACAGG
rnacentral:rRNA from 1 species